rnacentral:rRNA from 1 species
GACGAACGCUGGCGGCGUGCUUAACGCAUGCAAGUCGAACGGAAAGGCCCUGCUUUUGUGGGGUGCUCGAGUGGCGAACGGGUGAGUAACACGUGAGUAACCUGCCCUUGACUUUGGGAUAACUUCAGGAAACUGGGGCUAAUACCGGAUAGGAGCUCCUGCUGCAUGGUGGGGGUUGGAAAGUUUCGGCGGUUGGGGAUGGACUCGCGGCUUAUCAGCUUGUUGGUGGGGUAGUGGCUUACCAAGGCUUUGACGGGUAGCCGGCCUGAGAGGGUGACCGGCCACAUUGGGACUGAGAUACGGCCCAGACUCCUACGGGAGGCAGCAGUGGGGAAUAUUGCACAAUGGGCGGAAGCCUGAUGCAGCAACGCCGCGUGCGGGAUGACGGCCUUCGGGUUGUAAACCGCUUUCGCCUGUGACGAGGCGUGAGUGACGGUAAUGGGUAAAGAAGCACCGGCUAACUACGUG